UACGUAGGGGGCGAGCGUUGUCCGGAUUUAUUGGGCGUAAAGAGCGUGUAGGCGGCCAGGUAGGUCCGUUGUGAAAACUCGAGGCUCAACCUCGAGACGUCGAUGGAAACCAUCUGGCUAGAGUCCGGAAGAGGAGAGUGGAAUUCCUGGUGUAGAGGUGAAAUUCGUAGAUAUCGGGAGGAACACCAGUGGCGAAGGCGGCCCUCUGGACGGUGACUGACGCUGAGAUGCGAAAGCGUGGGGAGAAAACAGG
rnacentral:rRNA from 1 species